AUUUAAUGUGACCCCUGACCCCAUGACAAAAAGCAGCACAGACAAAUGGAAACAUCUGACAUGUGUUGAAUGAAGCCUCAUAUAAAACAGCAGAAAAUGACUGCAAUAGAUCUCAUAUUGUCUGA